rnacentral:lncRNA from 1 species
GUGUUCUCUCAAUUCUUUCGAGUUUUCAAGGAGACUUGCAAACCUUUACACUAAGUAUAUGACAAUUCAAUGCCAACAUUCUCAGCAAACUACCAUGAAUUCAACUUAAUUCCAACAAAAUAAAACACAACAUAAUAAUAUAUCCAACUAAUGUACCCUUUUCUACACUUCCACUGAUCCACUGCCUCCUAACCACAAUCAACGUGUCAAAUGACAUGGAGCAGAAAAUCUGUGAAGGCCACUACUAUAUCCUCUGACUUAAGAGCUACAAAG